UACGGGGGGGCAAGCGUUGUUCGGAAUUACUGGGCGUAAAGGGCUCGUAGGUGGCCAACUAAGUCGGACGUGAAAUCCCUCGGCUUAACCGGGGAACUGCGUCUGAUACUGGAUGGCUUGAGUUCGGGAGAGGGAUGCGGAAUUCCAGGUGUAGCGGUGAAAUGCGUAGAUAUCAGGAGGAACACCGGUGGCGAAGGCGGGUCUCUGGGCCGAUACUGACGCUGGAGGAGCGAAAGCGUGGGGAGCGAACAGG
rnacentral:rRNA from 1 species